rnacentral:rRNA from 1 species
UGCUCAGGACGAACGCUGGCGGCGUGCUUAACACAUGCAAGUCGAACGAUGAACCACUUCGGUGGGGAUUAGUGGCGAACGGGUGAGUAACACGUGGGCAAUCUGCCCUUCACUCUGGGACAAGCCCUGGAAACGGGGUCUAAUACCGGAUGAUACUUCUGCUCGCAUGGGUGGGGGUUGAAAGCUCCGGCGGUGAAGGAUGAGCCCGCGGCCUAUCAGCUUGUUGGUGAGGUAGUGGCUCACCAAGGCGACGACGGGUAGCCGGCCUGAGAGGGCGACCGGCCACACUGGGACUGAGACACGGCCCAGACUCCUACGGGAGGCAGCAGUGGGGAAUAUUGCACAAUGGGCGAAAGCCUGAUGCAGCGACGCCGCGUGAGGGAUGACGGCCUUCGGGUUGUAAACCUCUUUCAGCAGGGAAGAAGCGAAAGUGACGGUACCUGCAGAAGAAGCGCCGGCUAACUACGUGCCAGCAGCCGCGGUAAUACGUAGGGCGCAAGCGUUGUCCGGAAUUAUUGGGCGUAAAGAGCUCGUAGGCGGUCUGUCGCGUCGGAUGUGAAAGCCCGGGGCUUAACCCCGGGUCUGCAUUCGAUACGGGCAGACUAGAGUGUGGUAGGGGAGAUCGGAAUCC